rnacentral:rRNA from 1 species
AGAGUGAACGCUGGCGGUAGGCCUAACACAUGCAAGUCGAACGGCAGCACAGUGGUAGCAAUACCAUGGGUGGCGAGUGGCGGACGGGUGAGGAAUACAUCGGAAUCUACCUUUUCGUGGGGGAUAACGUAGGGAAACUUACGCUAAUACCGCAUACGCCCUUCGGGGGAAAGCCGGGGACCAGCAAUGGCCUGGCGCUGAUAGAUGAGCCGAUGUCGGAUUAGCUAGUUGGUGAGGUAAUGGCUCACCAAGGCGACGAUCCGUAGCUGGUCUGAGAGGAUGAUCAGCCACACUGGAACUGAGACACGGUCCAGACUCCGU